rnacentral:lncRNA from 1 species
UUCCUUAUCCACCGACUGCAGCUGGACUGAAGCCUAAAGUGAAAGGCAAACCACACCUACCAUGCAAGAUGAGGACGUCUCUGGCCCUGUAGAAACGGGAAAGCACAGGUGACAGAAAUGUCAGGGCACACAGUGCAAGUAAACAAACUGAUACAACGGCUUUGCCCCCAGGAUCCCAGGGACAGACUUCUUUAGUGAUUGGCUUCAUGGAAGGCAGCUGGGUCCUUGGGUCGUGGUACCUGUUGGAGUUUCUGGAAGAGCGAGCAAGAAAGACAGACGUCGUCUUCGCAUUAUGGAGGGGGAGCUUGGAAACAAGAGUGGGAAUCGUUGAAUGGAAGGACGAGUUCUCAUCGUCUUCUCUGGAAGGG